AUGAACGCUGGCGGCGUGCCUCAUACAUGCCAGUCGAGCGAACAGACGAGGAGCUUGCUCCUCUGACGUUAGCGGCGGACGGGUGAGUAACACGUGGAUAACCUACCUAUAAGACUGGGAUAACUUCGGGAAACCGGAGCUAAUACCGGAUAAUAUAUUGAACCGCAUGGUUCAAUAGUGAAAGACGGUUUUGCUGUCACUUAUAGAUGGAUCCGCGCCGCAUUAGCUAGUUGGUAAGGUAACGGCUUACCAAGGCGACGAUGCGUAGCCGACCUGAGAGGGUGAUCGGCCACACUGGAACUGAGACACGGUCCAGACUCCUACGGGAGGCAGCAGUAGGGAAUCUUCCGCAAUGGGCGAAAGCUUGACGGAGCAACGCCGCGUGAGUGAUGAAGGUCUUCGGAUCGUAAAACUCUGUUAUUAGGGAAGAACAAAUGUGUAAGUAACUAUGCACGUCUUGACGGUACCUAAUCAGAAAGCCACGGCUAACUACGUG
rnacentral:rRNA from 1 species